rnacentral:lncRNA from 1 species
AUAUAAAAGGUAAUCCAUACACCACUCGUGUAAACCAAAUACAGAACCUGAAACACUUGUGCCCCAACGACAGCUGUCAGAUCAUCUCCCAUGGCCUUUAAUACAUAAGCUAGCAUACUUGUCGUGGUACUCUUUCCUACAAGUAUAUAUAAAUGAUGUUUUGUUCGUAAGAGAAAACCAAUUCAUGCAAGAGAAAUAUAACCCAUAUAUAGGUUAGCAAAAUCCACUCUAAACCAAGGCGGACAAUUAGCACAUAUAUUCUAAUCGAUGUCCGCAUCUGGUUUGUCUCCUCACAAACAUGAAGUUUCCAAUACCAAUUAUCAAGGCU